rnacentral:rRNA from 1 species
GACGAACGCUGGCGGCGUGCUUAACACAUGCAAGUCGAGCGAUGAAGUUCCUUCGAGAAUGGAUUAGCGGCGGACGGGUGAGUAACACGUGGGUAACCUGCCUCAUAGAGGGGAAUAACCUUCCGAAAGGAAGAUUAAUACCGCAUAAGAUUGUAGUACCGCAUGGUAUAGCAAUUAAAGGAGUAAUCCGCUAUGAGAUGGACCCGCGUCGCAUUAGCUAGUUGGUGAGGUAACGGCUCACCAAGGCGACGAUGCGUAGCCGACCUGAGAGGGUGAUCGGCCACAUUGGGACUGAGACACGGCCCAGACUCCUACGGGAGGCAGCAGUGGGGAAUAUUGCACAAUGGGGGAAACCCUGAUGCAGCAACGCCGCGUGAGUGAUGACGGUCUUCGGAUUGUAAAGCUCUGUCUUCAGGGACGAUAAUGACGGUACCUGAGGAGGAAGCCACGGCUAACUACGUGCCAGCAGCCGCCGUAAGAC